GACGAACGCUGGCGGCGUGCCUAAUACAUGCAAGUAGAACGCAGUUGCGAACGGGUGAGUAACGCGUAGGUAACUGCCUCAUAGCGGGGGAUAACUAUUGGAAACGAUAGCUAAUACCGCAUACUGUGAGAUGGACCUGCGUUGUAUUAGCUAGUUGGUGGGGUAAAGGCUCACCAAGGCGACGAUACAUAGCCGACCUGAGAGGGUGAUCGGCAACACUUGGACUGAGAGACGGCCCAGACUCCUACGGGAGGCCGCCAGAGGGAAUCUACGGCAAUGGAGGGAAGUCUGACCGAGCAACGCCCCGCGAGUGAAGAAGAUUUUCGGGUCGUUAAGCUUUGUUGUUAGGGAAGCGGUAACUGUCCAGAAAGGCACGGCUAACUACGUGCCAGCCGCCGAGGUAAUAC
rnacentral:rRNA from 1 species